CGGACGGGUGAGUAACACGUGGAUAACCUACCUAUAAGACUGGGAUAACUUCGGGAAACCGGAGCUAAUACCGGAUAAUAUAUUGAACCGCAUGGUUCAAUAGUGAAAGACGGUUUUGCUGUCACUUAUAGAUGGAUCCGCGCCGCAUUAGCUAGUUGGUAAGGUAACGGCUCACCAAGGCGACGAUGCGUAGCCGACCUGAGAGGGUGAUCGGCCACACUGGAACUGAGACACGGUCCAG
rnacentral:rRNA from 1 species